rnacentral:rRNA from 1 species
AACGCGAAGAACCUUACCUGGGCUUGACAUGUUCCCGACAGCCCCAGAGAUGGGGCCUCCCUUCGGGGCGGGUUCACAGGUGGUGCAUGGUCGUCGUCAGCUCGUGUCGUGAGAUGUUGGGUUAAGUCCCGCAACGAGCGCAACCCUCGCCCUGUGUUGCCAGCACGUCGUGGUGGGAACUCACGGGGGACCGCCGGGGUCAACUCGGAGGAAGGUGGGGAUGACGUCAGAUCAUCAUGCCCCUUACGUCCAGGGCUUCACGCAUGCUACAAUGGCCGGUACAACGGGAUGCGACAUCGUGAGGGGGAGCGGAUCCCUUAAAACCGGUCUCAGUUCGGAUUGGAGUCUGCAACCCGACUCCAUGAAGGCGGAGUC